AUUCUGUGUCCGUUAAAUCGACGUUUUACCACCGCGUUAUCCGUUUGUCAUCUAUGAACACGAUUUCCCGGUUGUUAACAGCUCUCGCUGAAAAAAAAAAAAAAACGGAUACGAUGGUGAAAUGGCUCCCUCCGGUUCAAAUAUUGAGCAGCAAGCCUUUGACGGUAUUAAUACAUCGCUCGCGAUUGAUCCAGACAGCGCAGCC
ensembl:lncRNA